AUUGAACGCUGGCGGCAGGCCUAACACAUGCAAGUCGAACGAGUGGCGGACGGGUGAGUAAUGUAUGGGAAACUGCCUGAUGGAGGGGGAUAACUACUGGAAACGGUAGCUAAUACCGCAUACCAUCAGAUGUGCCCAGAUGGGGUUGGCUAGUUGUUGGGGUAACGGCUCACCAAGGCGACGAUCCCUAGCUGGUCUGAGAGGAUGACCACGCACACUGGAACGGAGGCACGGGCACGACUCCUACGGGAGGCAGCAUGGGGGAAUAUUGCGCAAUGGGCGCAAGCCUGGUGCAGCCAUGCCGCGUGUAUGAAGGAGGCCUUCGGGUUGUAAAGUACUUUCAGCGGGGAGGCGUUACCCGCAGAAGAAGCACCGGCUAACUCCGUGCCAGCAGCCGCGGUAAUAC
rnacentral:rRNA from 1 species